CUCGCUCAGCCUGAAGUAGCUCAGGUCUAAAUGUCUGGAGCUGAUGACAUGUUUGCAUCUAGCUGAUGAUCUCCUGACUUUCUUUGAUGUAGAAUUUGAGAAACAGAGCUGUUAUCACUUUCCUUCCUUCAGUUUUGUCUCCUAAAAUAUGCUUUACAUGAGAAAUGGCCCCUUCAAGAGCUAUUCAGUUGUUAGGUUUCAUUCCACAUGCCUCUUAUAUUUAAGAUAAAAUAUUUUCCUAUCCAGUAUAAAUAGAGAGAUAUGUACUUAUGAGAGAAGGUAUAUCCAAAACCUUUUGGUUGUCAUUGAAUGUAUCUUUACAGAAAGAAACAUGGGAAAUAUCCUUCUUUGGAUUUCAUAAUGAAGUUUACUUCCAUAAAAAGUUGCUUUAUUUUUGUGAGGUCUGAGACUUACCAGUGGAGGAGAAAAUGCUUCUGUAACAAAUUCCUUGAGAGUGAAGCUGCCAUGGUCCUUAGGAGUUGGAGAAAAAGAGGUAAGACAGUGAAGUCUUUAACUGCUCCAGAAGAAGAGGGUCUGGAAAGAAAAUGUCUCUGGCAAAAAAGUAUCAGGUGA
rnacentral:lncRNA from 1 species